rnacentral:lncRNA from 1 species
UCUUCGAUACCCUUGGAAGGGGCCUGGAGGCAUCUAUAGGAUGCUCUCUUAUGCAAAUUUACUGGUGUUCAGACUGCUACGCUGCAUCAUUCGGUGCCACCUUUCCGCAUUCCGUGUAUCGCCGCCGCCACAGCCCCAAUCCAGGCGACGAGACCCCACAUGACGUACCAAACAAGUAUGGUUAAAAAAUACAAACUUCCGCUACAAUUACGAACGGAGCACACGCCAUGGAGUAUUGCAACUGGGUUGCAGAUCGGUCAAGUCAACUGUUGGGCAUCUGAGAGCCAUCCCGUAUUAGCCCCAAACCUCCAUGAUUGUAUAC